UCCCUGGAAGUAACUUCAGCCUUGACCUCCUCCUCAUCCUCUUCAUUUUUGUGUUUCUUCUUUUUGUCCUCCUUGUCUUUCUUCUUCUUUCCUUCUUUUUUGUCAUCUUUUUGCUCAUCGCUCUUCUUCUCUUUUUCAUCAUCACCGUAUUUGUGUUUCUUCUUUUUAUCAUCCUUGUCUUUCUUCUUCUCCCCUUCUUUUUUAUUGCCGUCACCUUUUACUUCAUCACUCUUCUCCUUUUCGCCAUCACCACCCUUGUGUUUCUUCUUUUUAUCGUCUUUCUUCUUCUCCCCUUCUUUUUUAUCAUCGUCACCUUUUACCUCAUCACUCUUCUUCUCUGUUUCAUCAUCACCGCCCUUGUGUUUCUUCUUUUUAUCGUCCUUUCCUUCAUCCUUACGCGUCUCCUCUGCUUCACCCUUUGAUUCCUUUACAUUAUCUUCAAUGUCAAUCUCCCUGGAAGUAACUUCAGCCUUGACCUCCUCCUCAUCCUCUUCAUUUUUGUGUUUCUUCUUUUUGUCCUCCUUGUCUUUCUUCUUCUUUCCUUCUUUUUUGUCAUCUUUUUGUUCAUCGCUCUUCUUCUCUUUUUCAUCACCACCAUCCUUGUGUUUCUUCUUUUUAUCAUCCUUCUCCUUCUUCUCCCCUUCUUUUUUAUCGUAGUCACCUUUUA
rnacentral:lncRNA from 1 species